rnacentral:tRNA from 4 species
GGUCGUGUAGCUCAGCUGGGAGAGCACCUGCCUUACAAGCAGGGGGUCAUAGGUUCAAGUCCUAUCGCGACCACCA